CUGGGCGUAAAGCGAGCGCAGACGGUUACUUAAGCAGGAUGUGAAAUCCCCGGGCUUAACCUGGGAACUGCGUUCUGAACUGGGUGACUAGAGUGUGUCAGAGGGAGGUAGAAUUCCACGUGUAGCAGUGAAAUGCGUAGAGAUGUGGAGGAAUACCGAUGGCGAAGGCAGCCUCCUGGGAUAACACUGACGUUCAUGCUCGAAAGCGUGGGUAGCAAACAGGAUUAGAUACCCUGGUAGUCCACGCCCUAAACGAUGUCAAUUAGCUGUUGGGCAACUUGAUUGCUUAGUAGCGUAGCUAACGCGUGAAAUUGACCGCCUGGGGAGUACGGUCGCAAGAUUAAAACUCAAAGGAAUUGACGGGGACCCGCACAAGCGGUGGAUGAUGUGGAUUAAUUCGAUGCAACGUGAAGAACCUUACCUGGUCUUGACAUGUACGGAAUCCUCCAGAGACGGAGGAGUGCCUUCGGGAGCCGUAACACAGGUGCUGCAUGGCUGUCGUCAGCUCGUGUCGUGAG
rnacentral:rRNA from 1 species